rnacentral:lncRNA from 1 species
AGCAAUUACAUAAAUUAACAUAAAAUGACUUACAGAAUUCAUCAAUAGCAACAUUUGGAAUCAAUUCUUCCAAGUAUCUUGUUAGGCUCAUUUGUUUGAAGUUGUGCCUUUAUUCUUCCAAGAGAAGUUGAGGAACAUUAACUUCCACCAUCUAAGAAAAGUAAAAAUGAUAUCACAAAUCAUAAAUCUUAAAUUAUAUUACAA